UCAGACUCAGACUGGAAUCUACACCAUUGGCUCUCUGGCCCUCAGGCCUUUCUAGGUCUCCAGCUUUUGAGAGCAGAUUGUGGGACUUCUCAGCCCCUAUAAGCAUCUUGAGGUUGCUGCCUUUCUGAUAUAGUGAUGUGAAGAACAGUUUAAAGGGUAUCGCUAGGAUGAAGAAGAGAUGACAAAGAAAGAAAGAACAAAAGGAAGAAAGGAAGGAAGAAAGGGCAUGCUCUUUGAGCGUGUUUUAGGAGAAUGGAUUUCUUCAUGGGCUCUUAGAUACUGCAUUGCACAGGUUACCUGGGACAUCUGAUGGGGAGUCCAAGAGACCUGUACCAGUUAUCUCCAGAUGGGGUCUUGCUACGUUGCCAAGGCUGGUCUCAAAC